GGCUUAGUCCCUGGAAGCUCUGGUUGCUUGGCAUUGUUGUUCAUAUGGGGUCUCAAGCCCCUUCAAGCUCUUCCAGUCCUUCCUCUGAUUCCUUCAAUGGGGGUCCCGUUCUCAGUUCAGUGGUUUGCUGCUGGCAUUCGCCUAUGUAUUUGCUGUAUUCUGGCUGUGUCUCAGGAGAGAUCUACAUCCAGUUCCUGUCGGCCUGCACUUCUUUGCUUCAUCCAUCUUGUCUAAUUGGGUGGCUGUAUAUGUAUGGGCCACAUGUGGGGCAGGCUCUGAAUGGGUGUUCCUUCUGCCUCUGUUUUAAUCUUUGCCUCCUUAUCCCCUGCCAAGGGUAUUCUUGUUCCCCUUUAAAGAAGGAGUGAAGCAUUCACAUUUUGAUCAUCCAUCUUGAGUUUCAUGUGUUCUGUGCAUCUAGGGCAAUUCAAGCAUUUGGGCUAAUAGCCACUUAUCAAUGAGUGCAUACCAUGUGUGUCUUUCUGUGAUUGGGUUACCUCACUCAGGAUGCCAGUUCCCUCCAUUUGCCUAUGAAUUUCAUAAAGUCAUUGUUUUUGAUAGCUGAGUAAUAUUCCAUUGUGUAGAUGUACCACAUUUUCUGUAUCCAUUCCUCUGUUGAAGGGCAUCUGGGUUCUUUCCAGCUUCUGGCUAUUAUAAAUAAAGCUGCUAUGAACAUAGUGGAGCACGAAACACAGAUAUUCUUACCACUUCAUAACACUAGCAAAAUUACAGUUAUGAAGUAGCAAAGAAAUAAUUGUUUUUUUAUUUUUUCCCCAGUAUUGUUUUUGUUCUACUCUAUGUCUCUGGGCUAUUAGUUUUUCAAUCAAAAAUUUGUGCCACUGAAUUCUAGGAUGAAUGAAUCUCCUUGUCUGUUAUACAGAAAGAUGAAAAAAUUGUCAGAAUAAGAUAAUAUUGGGGGCAUGUCCUCAACUCUAAAAAUAAAAUAUUAGAAACCUACUGUGAUUCAGUUUUGUUUGUUCCAGUUAUGAUUUUCCUAUCAUCUCUACACUUGAAACAACUAUAACUACUACUUGACUGUUGAAUUACAGAUGGAGACUUCAUCUUUUAAACUGGCAAAGAAAUAAUUUUAUGGUUGGGGGUCACCACAGCAUGAGGAACUGUAUUAAAGGGUUGCAGCAUUAGGAAGGGUGAGAACCCCUGCUCUGCAGUCAACGAUUGCUUUUAGCUGUCAGGUCUUUUUACCUUUCAUUAACCUGGGACAUUACUAGAACUUUUCUUUGUCAUAUACAAUGGCCUUUCUCCAAGCCUGGAGUUCUCUUAAUUUUUUCUCAUUGAGAGUUUGUCUAAUAUUUCCUUAUGGUUUGGGGUUAGGCCUUGUGACCGUUUGCAUAUGCUUGGCCCAGGGAGUGGCACUAUUAGAAGGUGUGGCCUUGUUGGAGGAAGUGUGUCACUGUGGGGGUGGGCUUGGAGACCCUCUUCCUAGCUGCCUGAGGAUGCUCAGUCUGUUCCUGGCUUCCUUCAGGUGAAGAUGUAGGAGUCUCAGCUCCUCCUGCACCAGGCCUGCCUGGAUGCUGCCAUGUUCCCGCCUUGAUGAUAAUGGACUGAACCUCUGAACCUCCCAUCAUCAAAGGAAGUCAGAGCAGGUCCACAGGCAGAAGCCAUGGAGAAAUGCUGCCUGCAGACGUGCUCCCCGCCCUUUACUCAGCCUGCUCUCUUAUGCAACUCAGGACCACCUGCCCAGGAACGGCACCGCCCCCACACACACUCACAACAAUCAUCAAUCAAGAAAAUGCUCCAGAGACACGCCCACAGCUAACCUGGGAGAGCCAAUUCCUCAGUAGAAGAUUUCUCUUCCCAGUGACUCCAAGGAUUGUAAAAGAAAGUUCCAAGUUUUUGAAGUGGCAGGCAUUUAUGACCAACAAGGCAACUUUAUUACUCCUGAAAUAAAUAACCAACUUGAGAGCUUGCCAAAACAUCCACAAACUACUUCUUUGAAUCCUCACUGCUUUGGAAAUGAAGAACCACGCCUGUCUUUAUGUAAGACCCAUGGGUUGUGGUUUUCUGAGCUCCAUGACUACACAGGGCAGGCCAAAGAAGCCGAGUUACAGCCUAGAGAGUGAUUAGAACUGACUGAGGAAACAGGAACCCAACUCUAAUUAAAGAAAUUGCUAAUUA